UACGGAGGGUGCAAGCGUUAUUCGGAAUCACUGGGCAUAAAGGGCGCGUAGGCGGCUUUCUAAGUCAGGGGUGAAAUCCGGCAGCUCAACUGUCGCAGUGCCUUUGAUACUGGAGAGCUCGAGGGAGGUAGGGGUCUGUGGAACUUCCGGUGGAGCGGUGAAAUGCGUUGAUAUCGGAAGGAACGCCGGUGGCGAAAGCGACGGACUGGAUCUCUUCUGACGCUGAGGCGCGAAAGCCAGGGGAGCAAACGGG
rnacentral:rRNA from 1 species